UGGAAUGCGAGCUUGAGAGGAACCAUCAGCUCAAACAGCUGCAUUCUUCAGCCAGUCGUUCUGUAGCCAAAUAUGGUCGGCUUAAGCACUUUUUGCCCAGCAAGGCACCACAUGUGAAACUGGUCCUAGCUUUUCAAGGCCAUGUAGAAGAAAAAUUCGAGAAAAUGCCAAACAGAGAGCCACUCGUGACCCAUUUCCUCGAAUUCAUGGCAGAUGGUGAAGUCCCAGCUAUCAGCCUCCUUUUCCUACA